rnacentral:SRP_RNA from 1 species
UCGUGCUAGGCGGGGAACCAGCGGUGCCCUGUACCCGAGAUCCGCUAUAGCGGGGCUGAAUCCGAUCUCGAGGUUUUGUUUUUCAGAACUGCAAUGGUUAAGCGGUGUUGAAGGUUGGGUCUUGUGCGGCGGAGGUCUAUGAAUCCCGUCAGGUCCGGAAGGAAGCAGCGGUAAAUAGUAAUCUCCGGGUGACGCAGGUUUGCCUGGCCUGAGCUGGCUGGCAGGCGUAAGCUGAAGAACUCUAUCGACAGAACGGUGCACGG